GGCUCAGAACBAACGCUGGCGGCAGGCUUAACACAUGCAAGUCGAACGCUCCGCAAGGAGAGUGGCAGACGGGUGAGUAACACGUGGGAAUCUACCCUUUWCUACGGAAUAACGCAUGGAAACGUGUGCUAAUACCGUAUGUGUCCUUCGGGAGAAAGAUUUAUCGGKAAAGGAUGAGCCCGCGUUGGAUUAGCUAGUUGGUGGGGUAAAGGCCUACCAAGGCGACGAUCCAUAGCUGGUCUGAGAGGAUGAUCAGCCACAUUGGGACUGAGACACGGCCCAAACUCCUACGGGAGGCAGCAGUGGGGAAUAUUGGACAAUGGGCGCAAGCCUGAUCCAGCCAUGCCGCGUGAGUGAUGAAGGCCCUAGGGUUGUAAAGCUCUUUCACCGGAGAAGAUAAUGACGGUAUCCGGAGAAGAAGCCCCGGCUAACUUCGUGCCAGCAGCCGCGGU
rnacentral:rRNA from 1 species